UACAGAAAUAAUUCAUCAGUUCAUUCUGGAACAGCAGAAAGGAAACAGAGUGCCUCUCUGCAUCAACCCUCAGUCUGCUGCUUUUAAGAGCUUUAUUAGUUCCACGGUUGCUCAACCAUCCGAGAUGCCGCCAUCUCCACUGGUUUGGGAGUGAAGUGGAAGAUAAAGGACUACUGAAGAUGUAAUGUAGCUUUCCACUGGAGUCUGGGAUUUGCAAUUCUGGAGGUUAAUCAUGCUUGUACUGUAAUUUUACUAAUGAAGUUUUAAAUUAACAACCACUACUUGUACAAUAUGAAUAAUAUUUAGAAAUGUACUAGACUUUUAAUCUUGUAAAGUGGUUGUGCUUUUAGAAGAAAAUAUUUUACCCAGAGUUGCACGUGUUUUAUGAAUUCUAGUGCAGCUGUGAUGGCUCAGCUCAGAACAAACAGAAUUGAACCAAAUUUGGGGAGGUUUUUUUCUUUUUUUUCUUUUUUUUUUAUCGAAGUGAGAUUGUACAAAACAACAGACAUACAUUUUGAUAUUGAGCCAUUCCUGAAGAUUUGGGGUUUUCUAGAACUAAGGAAUACAGAAAACUUGACUGCGACCAAUCAUGAAGUCACGUCAGAUGGCGGCGACCACAGCACGUGGGCAGGUCACCUGAUGGUCGAACCCUAUAAAUAGCUUCUCACUAGAGCUGUGAUGGUGAUGUGUGCUGUUCUCAAAUCAGAUGUUGUGAGUAGAGAGAAUGAGUUUGUGACUAGGAGAGACUAAACUUCUGUUUCCUUACCCAGUAUAAAUAUAUAUAUAUAUUUAAUCUAUUUUUAUUAGAAGUUUUUCUGCUCUUUCUUACAUAAAACCCCCCAGCAUGCAUCUUCUAUGUGUGUAAAUAAUUCCAUUUAUGGGCUAAUUUCAGAGAUCCCUGACAUCAUUGCUGUAUAGAGAGAAACUAGCUUGCACAUUUUAGGUCUGUGAAAUUUUGUGAGAACUUUUUCCUGCACUGGACAGUUGAGAGAAAAAAAAAAAAAAAAGAAAAGAUAAAAAAAAAAGCACAUAGGGAAUUAUGUUAAUUGUGUUCGUGUCUUUAGGCAAAGCUGUGGAAGUCUUGAAAUGUCACAGUAGUAAAUAACUUUUAUUACUUUUUGGCUAAUUCUUUUUCUGUUGGAACACUGAAUUCUGUGCAUAUGUAUAUAUGAACACAAAUUGAAGGCCUCUACCUCCUGGAGUAUACAACUUGGUUUGUUUACCUCCACAUGAUUUUUUUUUUUUUUUAAGUUCAGUGUGGAGACUUGAAACUUGAAUGUCCCUUCCAACUUUUGUAUUUAAAACAAGACUAGAAAAUUGAAGACUGUUUUUCACCUGUACAAAGGAUACUAAAGGGCGGUCUUAAAAUUUGAGCAUUGGUCUGGAGAAAAACCGUGGUGUUUGUUAUGGACAAUUAACUGUUAAAGUUAUUGUAAGUUAUCUGUAUUUAGCAGAGUAUUUUCAACAAGAGUGAUCUGAGCUGAAAUUGGAGACUAUUAGUAAGUUAUGUUUGGAAGUUUUAACUUCAAUGAAGUAAUUAUUUGCUGUGAAAGAGACAAACAUUGAAUAACUGAACAAAGAUGGUGCAAUAUCUUUGUUUUUUAUGAGGCUCCUGAGAAUAAAACCAGCUGAAGCAUUUCGAUUCACUUGAAUAAUUAAAAGAGCCCGAGAAGACACUGGUAUGAAAGGUAAAAUCUCAGAGGUUGGUCAGUUAAUGUGGCACACUUGCUGGUCACUUUGUAAAAUGUAGAUUUGAAGUACAGUGGUGAAAACAUUAAAUGUGACAUUUGAAAAAGAAGCGGCGUUAUCUUUGUUUCUGUCUGAUCUCCCACCUUUAUUUAAGACUAAGUUGCUGCAAUCUGGAUUAAGCACUGCCUGAGAGAAUGCGAGUAAAAAGACUUUAUGACUCCU